rnacentral:rRNA from 1 species
GAUGAACGCUGGCGGCGUGCCUAAUACAUGCAAGUCGAGCGAACAGACGAGGAGCUUGCUCCUCUGACGUUAGCGGCGGACGGGUGAGUAACACGUGGAUAACCUACCUAUAAGACUGGGAUAACUUCGGGAAACCGGAGCUAAUACCGGAUAAUAUAUUGAACCGCAUGGUUCAAUAGUGAAAGGCGGUUUUGCUGUCACUUAUAGAUGGAUCCGCGCCGCAUUAGCUAGUUGGUAAGGUAACGGCUUACCAGGGCAACGAUGCGUAGCCGACCUGAGAGGGUGAUCGGCCACACUGGAAUUGAGACACGGUCCAGACUCCUACGGGAGGCAGCAGUAGGGAAUCUUCCGCAAUGGGCGAAAGCUUGACGGAGCAACGCCGCGUGAGUGAUGAAGGUCUUCGGAUCGUAAAACUCUGUUAUUAGGGAAGAACAAAUGUGUAAGUAACUAUGCACGUCUUGACGGUACCUAAUCAGAAAGCCACGGCUAACUACGUG